rnacentral:piRNA from 1 species
GUAGUCAUGGUGUGGAGCUGU